GCGGGAGCCGGGGCCGCUGGGCGCGCCCCCAGCGCAUGUCCUCCUCCUCCUGGCCUCCCAGCUCCUGCUGCUCCUUUGGCGACUCGGGCUCUACGAAUAUCUUAGAAGAACACCGUUUGACCAGAGGACCAGGCUCCCUUUCUGGCUUCGGCUCUCAGUCCCUCUGUAUCUCGCUCAAGCAAAUCAAUUACGUUCAUCCUCCAUCUCCCAGCCUCAGUUUCCUCGCCUGUGACACGGCAGAGAUGGACCAGGAAGACCUUCCUGGACACAUCAGCGCACACUACAUUUUUUGUGACUCUGGGGAUAGGGCCGGGAGGAUUCAGGGCUGGGCUCCAGCUGCUAAGACGGCAGCGGGAAGACAGCCUGACCCGAGAGCCAGCCUUCUUAUCUGCGCCAGAGACCUCACGGUGUCCUGCCACGACCCGUACCCCCAUGGCCUCCAUCCGGGACUGCUGCACAGCUCUGUUCUGAGUCCCCGCCCUGCGAAGGAGGUGUGGAGGUUGUGGCUUUCUUCCACCCACCCCGCCCUAACUGGAGGUACAGAGGGAGAAGGAGGAGGAAGCAAGAGAAGGGAGAGCGUGAAGAGCACUCAAUUGGGAUGGUCCCUGGGAAAACCCUGCAGGAGCCCUGUCUUAGGCCAAAGGCCUGGCAACUAGAGGACGGAUUUGUGAAAGUCAGCUCCAUCCAGACCUACCUUGUGACCUUGACCUUGGACAAGUCACUUC
ensembl:lncRNA